CGUAUUCUUAACCACUGAACCAUCAGGGAAGCCCAGUGCAUUUGUAAUUUUGAUAGCUAUUGCCAAAUUGUUCUCCCAAGAAAGUACAUCAAUUGCACUCCCACCAGCAAUUAUGAAAGGGACUAUUUCUACACAAUUUUGCCAGUGAUGUUUUAUUACACUUUUUGAUGUUUGCCAUUCUGAUAUGUGAGAAUAGUAUCUCAUUGUAGUUUUAAUUUUCGAUCAUGGUAUUAUGAGUGCAGUAGGGCAUUAUAUUAUAUAUAGAAGAACUAUUUGUCUUUCCUUUUCUAUGAACUAUCUGUUCAUAUCCUUUUCCAUUGGGUUAAUAGGUCUUUUUAAAUUUAUUGGCAGCAGUUCUUAUUUAUUAGAGAAAUUCAUUCUUUGUGCAAAGCACAAGACUUUUGGGUACAACUUACAAUGUUGAUGAAUUUCACCUUCUGUCUAAUUUUCCUGAUUUCUGAAGCAUCUUUUGGGGACCUUCCAAAAUUCUACCAAGAAUAAUUUUACCUGUAAGAAUACUACUUCUUACCAAGAGGCAUUUCCCUUUAAUGAAAAUUUUUACCCAAAUAUCUGGAAACAAAUUAACUUACGCAUUUUAAAAUUUCACAGUGGCAUAGAUCUCUUUUCCGAAUCCAAGCAUUUUGGGCACCCAGAUUUUUCUGGGUAUGUGAGAGAGCAAGCUGUAUUCCCUGAGCUCACUCCUCCUCGCACCUAACUGGUGGCAAUUAUCCCACUCCUGCUCUGAAUUUACCUCCGUAGGGUGGUCUACCCCUCCUGUCUGCUGGUCCAUUGAGUCUGUCCCAGAAAGAAACUGUUGCACCACUUUUUCCCAUGCCCUUCUUGUCCACAGAAGAAUUUUAGUGGAUUAUGGUUAACCAAAUACAAAUUCUGCAAACAUAAAGAACAGAUUGUAAUUGACAACCCCUUUGUUUUCAAGUUAUUCAUGUGGCUUUUCAGCAACAACACAAAGCUCUCUUUGUCUUUGAAAAACAGAAAGAACCUCUUAACUCACCAAGUAUUUAAAUCUACUCAAUAUGAUGGGUGGGCUAAUGCGUGAAUCCUGGCCUGGUACAAAGGAAGUGCUGUGAAAAACUCAUUCUCGAGCCAUAUAUGCUGCUAAAUUUGCCACCGUAAACAGUACUGAGGUAAAAAACUGAGAGGGAUUAAAGAAUGUUCAAAGAUUCACAGUGGGAGAAAUUCAUGUAGUUGGGAACUUAACUAUAAAGAAAGGCAUUAGGACCCAGGGUUAUUUAGUCUGCAAAAGAGAAGUCUCCAGAGUCCUUUAAUAAGUGCUUCUGAGUCAUAAAAUAAACAUGGAAAGGAUGGUUACAUGUUCUUUAUCUGGGGAUAAGGGAAAAUGAACACAUAAAAUAUGAGGAAAAAUAUAGGCUAGAAACAAAAUAAACACUUUGAAUAUAUUCCAUAUUUAAAAAUAAGGAUGUGCUCUUUUCUCUACAUAUAGUAUAAUUUAAUAAAAAGUUAAAAAAAGAAGAUCUGAUUUUUGUCUGUGUGGGAUGCCUCUGGAAUAGUCAGAGAGCUAGAUGGUUUUCUGAAGCUUGGUGGUAAUGAGUGUGGCUCUGCCAUAAGAUUGCUUAGACUAAAUCCUAGCUCUGCUGCUUUCCUUUUGGAUAACCUUGGGUAAACCUCUCUCCUCGCUUGUCCCAGUCUCACUUCUCACUUCUAAAAUAGGGAUGAUAGCGUUGUUAUGAGGAUUAGGUGAGAUAAUGUACGUGUCCCAGUUUUGAUUUGGUUUUGUUUUAAAAGGCAGUACAUUCAAAUAUUAGUGGUCUAAACAAGAGGCAAAUUAUUUUUGUCCUAUGAAUAAUUUCCAGUAGAUGUCUGGAGUUAUGUGGUGCUAUACAGUUCCUGGUACCCAGGUCCUAGCUCAUGAGGUUGCCCUACUAUGUAUCAUUUUCAUUCCUAAGUAUACGUCUAUUCUAGCUAUCUAGCUAUUGUCUGCAUUCUAGCCAUCAGGAAGGAUGAAGAAAAGGCUCUUGAAAACACUUGCAUUCCCAGCCCUAUGGUCACAAUUUAGUUGCAUGAUGACUCCUACCAACAAGGGAGAUUGGGAAGCUUAGUCUUUUUCCCAAGCAGCUAGGUACCGAUUUGUAGCCACAAAUCAGUGGUUCUCUUAGUAUAGAUGAUAGGGGAAUAUUGUUGGGGAGGAAGAGAAAGAAGGCAGAUAUUUCAAAAUAUCUAGCAACUUCUGCUAUAGGGUACAAAAUGCUUAACACAGAAUCUAGCAACAAAGUAAAGCUCUUAUGACUGCUAUCAUUUCAAACGCAGAUUUAUAUGUACAGGAUUCAAUCAGCUCUUUUCACCUGGGUGUUCCGCAGGCACUACCAACUCAACAUUUCAAAAAAGUGAAGUCCUUAUGUCACUCUUUAUUGUCUCUCAUUAUUACCCACUCAGAGGAAAUCUGCUCUGCCGUUCUUGUUCUGAGUCUUGGAUAAUGGCUUCACCACCCAUCUCCCUUGGGGUCUCUCUCUGCUACUUCUUUUUCUUCACUCACUCUGUCUUAGUUUCAAAGAGGUGUCAGUUCUUGGGAAAUGUCCCUCAGAUACACACUCUUUUCUCUACUCUCACUAUUCAUUAUCUUAAUUUCACAAGUCUUUAGAAUGUGGUUUACAAGGCCUUUCAUAGUCUGACUCCAAUUUAUUUUUUAGCCCAGCUACUCUGUGUUAAAAAGAUAAAACAAAUAUUUAUAUUUUUAGUUUUCUAGGCAAAAUCUGAACAAAAUAUUUAUUUGUUUAAUAAAGGGGUUAAUUUUUUAACAAAGAUAGUAAUUAAAAACCUACACGAGCAACCAGUUUUAUAUACUACAGUCAAUGCAAAAUCAGAAGCUAUCUUCUGAAUGGGGCAUCUCUAUAUGUGUCUCAACAAGUGAAAAAGUUGCCAAGAAAUAAAAACCAUGUACCUUAUUUUUCACUUAUAUUCACUUCAUUUACAAUCUUCCCUCCAAAGCCUACAGACUCACAGGAAAGUGAGAACAUUUCAGAGUUACCUGCUUCUGCUCCAACUUUACCCUCCAUACUCUGUUAAAGAAAAUGCUGUCGCUGGAUGUUAAAAUGAUGUCAAGUGGAUGAAAAAGGGCAUAGGCAAUCAGAUAAAAUGAUUCAGGUUUCUGGGGAAAGGGAUCAUCAAAUAAUGCUCCAUCAUGGCUUCACUAAAAAUAGACACUUUAUAAUGGAACCAAAAUUGAUACCAAGAAAGACUUGAUAUUAUAGUGGUAAACUGCCUGAAAUGCUAAACAGUCUUAUAAAUAAGUUAGUUGCUGUUUAGAAAAUACAACUAGAGCAUUUGGUUUAUUCAAAAACAGGACUGCCUGCUUGCAAGGCUUAUUUUAAAGGAAUCGCUUUGCAUUUUAUUCCCUAUCCAGCUAACUAUAGCAUACUAGGGGAUAUAUUUAUAAUCUUAUAUAUGUUCUCAUGUAAGCACUUUAUGGAGACUGAACUUCAAUAUUUUAGAGUUUUGUCCCUGCAGAGGAAACCAUACUUCCUCUGAACCAUAUUCAUAGUAUUUCCAUAAUAGCAAGUGGCAGAUGAAUAUAUAUGAAAAGUGAAGGACAGGUCAGAUGUUAUCCCUAUAUUUUAGAACUUACGGGGCAGGUGGGAUGGUGACAUUUCUAUCUGCAGGGCGGGGUAUAUCUUUGAAGAUGAUGUAUUUAGACCUAGAAGAUUUCAAAUGUAAUUCCCUGCUCUACCUACACCAGUUUCUAGUGCCCCGACCAAGUAUUUCUAGAACACCUGAUAACUCAUUAUUCAGAGCAUUUGCCAACACCUUUGUUUUUUAUUUCUGGCGUCACUGCGCAGCUUGUGGGAUCUUAGUUCCCUGACUAGGGAUUGAACCCACACCCUCAGCAGUUAAAGCACAGAGUCUUAACUACUGGACCACCAAGGAAUUCCCUAUUUUUGUUUAUUUCUUUUGGACUAUAAGCUUUGUGAGGACAGGGUUUGUGCUAACUUUUGUAGUAUUUGAUAUUUCGUGAAUGAAUUUUUAAUGGAGUUUUCCUUUUAGGUAUACGUAGUUUAGUUAAAAGAGAUCUGCAGAUAAUACAAAAGAACACCAAAGGGGGAGGAAAUAGAUAUAAGUAUUUGUGUACACAGAGAAAUGGAAGCUGAGAGAACAGAAGAGAAAGGACAUAGAUUGAAAUCAGAAGUCGAAUAAGAAGCUAAGGAUACAUUUCCAAGAAGCAUUCAUAGUGAACAGGCCACUAGAAAACAAAGGACCCUAUUUGAAGGUACUUCUGAACCCACCGCAGUCCACAGAAUAAGAGAUGAGCAGGGAACUCAAUACUUUUACUUCCCUCUGCAUAGAUUCUGUAGUUCUCAUCUACUCUGUUGAAACGUACUCAAGAAAAAGAGAGGACUUUGUGAUUGUUUUGAUUAUUGCUUCACUGUUUGUUGGAGGAGGUCACUGAGAGGACGUGACCACGAGUUGACCUGUGAUCUGGACCCUGGCAACUGGAGGCUCUUCACUCUCACCCUUGUCCUUGGAAUGUACGUUCUGGCUACGGUUCCCACAGCGGGAGCUAUUUUCAAGGACACAGCCUUGAGACAGUAAUGUGCUGUUGAGACCAUCUGGACGGGAUACAUGACUGAACUUUGUUAAGAGCUCUAUGCAAACGUUUAAGAUUCUGGCAGGUGGCUGUGGAGAUCUACUCAUCUUGUGGCUGCCCAAGACGAGCCUUGUACAUAAAUUCUCUUGCUUACUAAACCCACCGUUAACUAAUCUGGAA